AUGGCGGCUUUGGCGAUGGCGAUGGGGGCGGCGGUCAUCCCUCGGGCUGCCCAGCUCGCCGGGGGUCAGCCUGCUGGCGGGAGGUGCGUCUCCGUCCGCGCGGCUGCGCCUCCGCGGCAGCAGCGGUCGUCCCGGCCGCCGCCCAGGAACCGCGGCCCUCCUCCGCAGAACCGCCGGCGCGGGCCGCCGCCCAGGCUCCGCGACGACGAAGGCGACGACCAGGGUCCGCCCGGGAGGCGGGGCCCUCCUGGCGCGCCCAGCCGCCACCACCAGGGCCGCGGGCCGCCGCCCAGGGGGCAAUCUGGCCGCGCUUCGCCGGCAGGCAUGACCCGCUCGCCCGUCGUCGCUCUGCGGCGGGAGGAAGAGGAGUUCGACGACGAGGCGGGGUACAGGGACUACGACGGCGAGGAGGAUGAGGAGGAGGGGGAGGGGAGGUUCGCCGGGGGAACCCGGUCGGGUGGCGCCAUGCCCAAGCCGCCCGCCGGCUUCGUGCUCGACGACCAGGGCCGGUGCAUCGCCGCCGCCUCCAAGCGCAUCGUCACCAUCAUUGAUGACGCGAACAAUCGCCCGUUGGAGUGCAUAAUCAGGAGGGUGUUCAGCAGCACGCAGGAUCACGAGUGCUUGCUUCUAUGCCCGGUCGACAUGCCUGUGCAGGUGCUCAAGAGCACAAACUUCAGUGGAUGGAUUGCCGUUGACGAUGACCAGAUUAAGCAGAUCAUUCCAUCGGUUGCGUACGCCCUUGCUAGGGUACAUAUGCACUUUGUCGAAAGCGGAUUCUGCUAUACAGCACGGGGUGGCUUCUGCUUUCCUGAAGAUGCCAUCCAAGAAUUCCACGAUUCUAGUGGCGGUAGCGGGGAGGCACCUUUUGAAGGUGUAGAGAUUUGCAACUUCAAUUUGGAUGGUGCACACUAUAUGAUCUAUACACCAGUCGAUCCGCUUCUAUUUGUCGCGGUCAAGGACAAGGACGGUGUGCUACGCAUUGCUGAAGAUGAUCUGAUGGACGACCCCAGCAUUGUGAGCGCCAUAGAUGAAGAGACAGAGUUCACGGCAUUGGUGGAGGAGGAGGAGGCCCUUCUCGAAUCGAUACUGCACGGCGACGAUGAUGUUAGCUAA
rnacentral:rRNA from 1 species